GCACAUGACUAACCCCGUCAGCUGGACCAUUGUUGAGCUGGAACUGUGGCUCUUUAACACGGUCACCAGAAAGCCUUGUAAAAACUUUGUCACUAUGACACCCCCACCCCCGUCCUGUUAUCUACCACAAACAAACGGUCCCCUAGCAACAGCCAAGUGGCUCCAAAGUAACAGUCAAGCUGUUGAGUGUGGAUCCAUAUUCAGAGGAGAAUUACAACACGCUUCUUUAAACUCCGUGCGAUUCCUCGGGGGAACGAGAGCAGGUGACGGACAGGAGGACACACAGAGCUGCAGGUGACUGUGUAGGACGUGAGGUGACGGACAGGAGGACACACGGAGCUGCAGGUGACUGUGUUGGACGUGAGGUGACGGACAGGAGGACACACGGAGCUGCAGGUGACUGUGUUGGACGUGAGAUGACGGACAGGAGGACACACCGAGCUGCAGGUGACUGUGUAGGACGUGAGGUGACGGACAGGAGGACACAGAGCUGCAGGUGACUGUGUAGGACGUGAGGUGACGGACAGGAGGACACAGAGCUGCAGGUGACUGUGUUGGACGUGAGGUGACGGACAGGAGGACACACGGAGCUGCAGGUGACUGUGUUGGACGUGAGGUGACGGAUAGGAGGACACAGAGCUGCAGGUGACUGUGUUGGACGUGAGGUGACGGACAGGAGGACACACGGAGCUGCAGGUGACUGUGUUGGACGUGAGGUGACGGAUAGGAGGACACACGGAGCUGCAGGUGACUGUGUUGGACGUGAGGUGACGGACAGGAGGACACACCCAGACAGGAGGACACACGGAGCUGCAGGUGACAGCGUGUGCGUCCACACAAAGCACAGGAGGAAGUUUCCUGAGAGCACAGACUUCACUCUGCUUCCACCAGGACCUCGGCCCCCGGCCGACACCCGGCUCUCCUCCAGAGCCUCGGAGCCUCCGGGCCUGCGAGGUGAAGACCACAUCAGAUGACACAUGGCAAAUAUUGUGCCGUGAUGUCACUUGUGAUGUCACUUGUGAUGUUUGUAUUUCAUGUCUUGAGUGAUUUAAUAUCAUGUAGAGAGAUUUUGCUGCGUGACACUUCACCUCGUGUCUGCUUCAGUUUGUGUCACUUGUUCUUUUUGUGACAUGUCAUUGCCCCGUGUCGUUUCACUUCCUGUCAUGUUUGAUUCUUCUCUUCUGUUGUCAUUUGGGGUCACGUCAUGUGAUGUUAGUUGAGUUGUGGCCUCCAAUCCUGGUCAUAAACUCCUGUUUGUGGUGGUAAAUCUGAUUAGAUGAGUUGUAUAACGAUUUGAUUCCUUCAUAGUGCAGGGGCUCUGCUGUCCCCUGCAGCAGAGGCCUGGCACUGGCAGGGUGACGCCUCAGAGAGGGGGGGGGGGGCUGGCAGCCUGACACUGAGGAGUCUCCCCCAGGCUGGAGCCGCCCCCGACAGACACACAGCAGGUGAAUGUACAGACUUGCGCCCCCUCACGACUCUGGUCCCUGCUGAUACAGGAACGUUCAGAAACGGUUAUUUGUCUCAUUAUACAAAUACAAAAACAUGUUUAAUAUUUAAGUGAUUAUUCACUGAGUAAAUGAACAGGGACUGAACUGGGGGAAGCAGGGAUCGAACCGCCGACCUUCAGGUCAGUGGACAACCGUCUCUACCUGUUCGGUGUCAUGUAAGUUAUGAGGUUAACAUGUCAAUAAAAAACUAUUCAUGUGAAGAACAGAUGCAAACAAGUGACGGAUUAUUGAUGUGAUGCAAAAACCACAAACUCUAAAUAGGUUGAUGUGUAAUUGACUGAGUUUUCUCUUUUACUUCGUCUACUUUGACCUUAAUCUGAGACAACAUGAGCAUGUGGAGAGUAAAGUACAGUAAAGUGCCUUGAAAUAAUGUACGUUUGAACACACACACACACACACACACACACACACACACACACACCCCCCCCCCAUCUGGCUGCAGAUUUCCAUAAUCAUAUCCAGACAACGUGCACAUAUGAAUUGUUCUUCCAGCUUUGGUCGGUGUUGACUCAAACAAAUUAAACGUUUCACUGCCAAUGGACAUGAAAGUUUGUCUGUUGUGCAUUUUUCUCUGUAACAUUUGGAGCGAGGGCGG